rnacentral:lncRNA from 1 species
CACUCACACUACUGAAAGCAAUGGAGAAAAGUCAGUUGAAGCCUAAUCUUGUGAUCUAUAGCAGUCUCAUCAAUGGUAUGUGCAAAGUUGGGAAGCUUAAUGAUGCCAAGGAACUUUUUUCUAGUCUUUUUGAAAUUGGUUUACAACCUGAUGUUUAUGUAUAUAGUGCAAUUAUGAAAGGACUAUGCCAACAAGGAUUAAUGGAUGAGGCGUAUAAGGUAUUUAAAGACAUGGAAAAGGUAGGAUGUUUACCAAAUAAUUGUUGUUAUAAUAUCAUCAUUCAAGGGUUUCUCAAGCAUGAGGAUUUACCAAAAGCAUCAGAACUAAUCAACGAAAUGGUUGAUAAGGGGUUCUCUGCUGAUGAUGCUACCACAGAAUUGGUAGUACAUUUGUCGCAGAAUAAUGAUCUCAUUCUAAGCAAACUACGAAAUCGUUCUGAGGCUUCUAAAGCUGUGCAAUGAGGGAUCAGCAAACUAAAGUUGUUAUAUCUUGACCGUUCAAUGGUGUCUUGGAGAGAAACUUGGUAAUUACCUUCUUCAAAUGUAGUAAAUAUGUAAUUUAACUAACUUCAAAUUUCGUUUUUAAUUUCAAUCAGCUGUGAUUCUCUUCCACAAAACAAAAAUUUCUAACACUGUAAAUUACCUGCAGUGGAAACCAUGAUAUAUGUGUGCCUUUCGCUUGAACUCAGACAUGGAUUAGAUCUCUUUGGAUAUAAGAUUGUUGAUGAAUGGAGGUCAUAGAUUUCAAAUGAUCAAGUUGCUGGUAAACCCACCAUCUUCCUUACAACUUUUUUUUGGGCUGCUACUACAGCCUUAACUCGAGAGCUCAGUCAAUGAGUUGAGAACUAAAACUAAUUGAUUCCAUGCUACAAUGCUUAAGAAUCUUUAUCUAUUUUACUUUUGUACUCAAUGACCUUUUAAGAUGCUAUCAUUUUUCUUGUAGCUACUUGCCAGGAUAUGAUUACAAGUUCACCUUUCUAACCAUAAAGGCAUAAGCAAUUCAUUUUUGCUUAAUUAUUAUAUUUUUAAGAAUAAUGAAAGUAAUAAUUAUAAAGGGCUUUAGUUAAGAAUUGAUUUAGCAAUUAGACUAUGCUAUAAAUGCAGGGUGCAGGAUAUACAGCCCCAGGAUACAAGUGUAGUGGUUGAGAAAUCUAGCAUUUUUCUUUUUCGAUUUCUUGGUUGACAGAAAUCUACCAAUUUUAGUUGUUGAGAUUGUUGAAUCAACACGUGAUCAGCAGGUACAAGAGAACUUUGUUAUAUUGCGAGUUAUAAUUACUUCAAUCUGUUUCACAUCCUGCAGUUAGUUGUCUUUGCUCUUUACAAGAAAUGUUUUAGGGUUAGCACUAAACUCAUGUUUCUAGGCUGUACAAGCAGCUUAACUUUGCUGAAUCCGUUGCAAUGUUACAUUGGUCUGCAAUAACUAAAAUAAAAAAACUCCAGACUUCGGUUUUGUGUAUACAAUCAGAAAAUGUUGGUUGUUCUUUUAUGUAUGCCAAUUUUCUCCCACUUUGAAAUUCAAUUUUCUGGUAUAACAAUCUAUAAUUAUAUCUAGUUUUUUAAGUGUCAGAUCAUCUAUUGUCACAUGUGAAAAAUAUCUAAAGACAAGAGCAGCAAUUUUUUUUCUUAUUUUUGUGUAUGCUCAACUUAAAAGGGCUUUUUUUUUUUUCAUUAUUGGUCUGGCUAUGUGAAGUAAGUGUGCAACAAAAUGGUAGAGGUGUCUUUACCACAUUCUGGUUGUUAUAUCUUGACCAUUCAAGGUGUCUUGGAGUGCAACUUGGUAAUUACCUUCUUCAAAUGUAGUAGAUGUGUAAUUUAAUUAACUUAUUCAAAUGUCAUGUUUAAUUUCAGUCAGCUGUGAUUCUCUGCCACAAAAAGAAAAUUUCGAACACUUGGUAAAUUGCUGGCAGUGGAAACCAUGAUAUGUGUGUGCCUUUCGCUUGAACUCAGGUAUGGACUAGAUCUCCUGGAUAUAAGAUCUCUUGAACUCAGAUAUUUGCUCAAUGACCUUUUAAGAUGCUAUCAAUUCUCUUGUAGGUACUUGCAAGGAUAUGAUUACAACUUCACCUUUCUAACCAUAAAGGUAUAAGCAAUUAUUUUUUGCUUAAUUAUUAUAUUUUUAAUAAUAAUGAAAAUAAUGAUUAUAAACAAGUGGGGCUAUAAUUGAGAAUUGAUUUAACAAUUAGACUACACUAUAAAUGCAGGGUGCAGGAUAUACAGCCCCAGGAUACAAGAUAAGAGAAUCACUAGACUUCUAGCUGUUGGUUGGAUGAAAAGUCACUAAAAUUGUAGACAACAAAAAUUGUUAUGAGAAUUGAGGAAAAAGCAAAACAUCCUCUUUGUCACCUUUUUUUUUUCCCCUAGUCAUCCAGUUGGGUAUAUAUAUAGAUAUAGAUCCUUAAUUUCUUUUAUUUUCCUACGAAUCAAAUUAGUGAAAUCAUUGCAUUAGCAUCUAAUACUAUGAAGUUCACAAUCUUUUCCUUUAAAAUCAAUUUUUUAACUCAUGGAAAUUUGAAUUUUAGAAAUGCUUGUGGAAGGUAUAUAUAUUCUUCCCUUUGAGAUUCUUUACUUUGGCGGAGUUGAUGGGAUGUGUAAUUAGUCCAUUUUAAGGAUAGUUAAUUGCAAUAGCUAUCAAAUAUAGUUAGUCCAUUUUAAGGAUAUGAUUAAAAUCACUGCCCUUGCUUUGGCCUAAUGCAACUAUUUUCCAACUGCUUCCUAAAUUAUAGAUCCAGGAUUAUAUAUUAUUCAAAGAAAUAUGAUGUAUAUUGGGCCAAGGAGAAAAGGGUUUUGCCUGCUUCUUUUAAGUUAUGUAUGGGUACUGCUUCUUUCAACUUUAUAUCACAAGGUCACUUAACUUCACUUUUCUAAUUUGAUUAUUCCAUUGUGGAUCUAUCAUUCUAAAAAUUUGUUAGAUUUUUAUUAAGAUUGCUUUAUGUUCUCUUCAUGCCUUUCUCUAUGAAUUAAUGGAAUCAUCUACCAAACAAUUCAAAACGUGAGUAGCUUAUGUUGAGACAGUAAAACAUUUUCAGCUAAAUAGACUGCACUUCUUAUAUGGGAAGUUGAUGCAUGGAGAUGGUUAAGGAAGAUGUCAUCCAUGUUUUUCUUAUUGUUCGUUAGAUAUGUUAGCAUAUCACAGAUCUUGGUUAAAAGCUAAAAUAAAAGACAAGUUUUGUCAAUUGAAAUUUGACACUGGCUAUGCAACUAAAUCUCUCUCUCUCUCUCUCUCUCCCCUUGAGAAAUCGUAUUACUUUAUUUAUUAUAACACGUUAACACGCUUCAUUGCUUCAUCCAUUGUAUUAAAAGUACAGGAAAAUUUUUCCAUGCUAUAUUUGUCUAACACAUUUAACCUGGGCCAUAAACUAUAACAAAAAGAAUUAUUGUAUGAUGCUAUGCUUAUAUGACCAUAUCGUUGUUGGUUGGCCUACGAAAUAGUGCAUUGAACUUAUGUGGGACUUGUUAAAUUUGAUCCAGGUCUAAUUCAUUCUAAAAAUAGUGCAUUGAACUUAUGUGAGACUUGUUAAAUUUGAUACAGGUCUAACUCAUUCUAAAAACUAGUUCAAAGGGAGUUUAAGGGGAGGAGUGUCUAUAACUCAUAUAAGAGCAUAUUAUCCCUUUCCACAAUAAAUGUGGGAUUCAACACACCCUUUAUGUUCAGAAUUUUAUUGGUGCGUGAUAUAUUUAUGGGAGGUCUAACAUCGGAUGGGAAGGUUUUGAUACGAUAAGAAUUUAUCUCUAAUUUAUAACUCAGCAGAAAACAUAGAGAAUAGAGAAUAAAGUAGAAAAAUGGAAUUACAUUUUUUUUUUGUAAAAAUGAAGGCUAUUUAUAGUAGAAAACCACAAAAUCUUUUGAAAUUAGUUGGACUUUGGGUUGAGUCCACCGGUUCGCUCGCGGUGUGCACCUGUCGGCUCGUCCCUUCUGCCGACGAUGCGCUCCUGGCCAUAAUUGGUCAGGUCAUGCCUUUGUUACUUUGAAGAAAUUAGGGUGUUCAAAGCAAGUUUACGCUCUGAUACCCUGUUAAAUUUGGAACAGGCUUAACUUACUUCAAAAACUAACUCAAGAGGAGUGCUGCCUAUGCCCCAUAUAGGGGGCAAAUUAUUUUGAAGUAUAGCCAAACUUAGACGUAUUGUAUUCCUGUGUACUCCAGUGAAUUUCCCUGUCCUAGCUUUCUGGUGGAAACCAACCGUUAGUCUUGAACAUUCUCUGUGGGUAUGCUAACCAAUUUUUUUAGUACACAAAUUAUUUGCACAUGCAGUUCAUUUAGGAGUCUUCUACAUCAAUCAUAAACAUGGGAAGAUUAGUUUAAUAUAGUGGUCAUGCUUUUCCUUAUUAUUAUUAUUAUUUACAUUAACCCACUUCCAAUCGCUAGAGACUUCAAAGUUCUUGAUCAGGAAAACAAACAUCACCAUGGUUGUGUUCUUUAUGGUAUAUGGAUUUUAAAAAGACAUAUAAUAGUAUAAUCUAAUGAGUAUCUAAAAACACGAGUAAGUUGAGUUGAAGAGUUUUGGUUGUUUGAACAGAGGCUCAAAUAAAAUUAUAUUUUAAUGUUAUUAUUUUCGUUAUUCUAAUGUGUAUAAAUUUGAUUUAAAUGCGGAAUGUUGUAGAGUACAUGAAAAUGAUCCAUUAACAAGCAAAGUUAUACCUUCCUCUCAUCUAAUGUGAAAAACAAUUUUAUCUAGAAACUGUUGUUUUUGAAAUGGAAUUUUUUUUCAAAUUUUUAAGAUGAUCAUAAUGCUUAUUAUAUCAUUUGCUUUUAGAUUUAGUAUCUUUACAAAAAAAAAAUAGUGAAAUACCAACAAAAAAUUUUAAUCGCUAUUGGAGAGCAAUCGGUCGCGCAAUUGGUGAGCAAAUCAACUAGGUUGUGUUUGGACUGUCGCUAAAUAUUUUAGCGACUAAACACCAAUUGGUCGCUAGUUGAAUGACCAAUUAGCAACCACAUUUUGGUUGCUAAUUGAGUGUGAAGACAAAUCCACCAUCAGAAAUUGUGGUUGCUAAAUUCAUCACAAAUUAGUCAUCGUAUAAUGUUCACAAAUUAGUCCCUAAUUGGACGCUAAAGGGUUGUAAUAUGGUAGCUAUAUGAAGGAUAAAAACCAUAUAUUGAUCGCUAAUUUAUAGUAAUCGAAAAAGGUCUUUGGUAGGAUCAUAAUAUGGUUGCUAUAGAAGGAUAAAAACCAUCUAUUGGUCGCUAUUUUAUCGCUAAUUGAUAAUAAUUGAAAAAGGAUUUUGAUCGCUAUAUACGAUUUGAUUGCUAAUUGUGGAUGAUUGGUCACUAAUUGACCGAUUAUUGCAACUGAAGCUAAUUUGUUUCUUUUUUUUUCUAAUAUAUUUAUAAAUAUGUUAUACUAACAAUACGAACAUAUGAAAUCCAUAAUUUUGAUACUUAAAAUAUAAAAACACUAAUGUAAUCCAAUGCUAAAAGACAUGAAUACUAAAAAUAUAUGAUAUAUUUAAAUAGUAUCAAUAAGUUCAAGUACUUAAGAAGUAUUAAAAAGUAAAACUAUCAAAUAAUAAUUUUUUUUAAUAUACUGUGAUUCAAAAACUAUGACAGUAUUAAAGGAAAACCUAUUAUGUAUAAAAAAAUUCUCAAAUAUUUUUAUUUUCAACCAUUUAGUUUUUAAUUUUGGCUGUUUUUGUUACGCUAUGCUUUUCUCUAGCUCAACUUCUGUGCUUUUUUAUCUCUCUCAAGUGUAGUAGCAGAACGACUCAACACUUGUUAGCUAUUACCGCCAGCAUAAAAUUUAAAUCAAGUUCUUCUUCUCAAUUCAUCUUCUUUCAACUGUCUCAUACUCGCCCGUCUCGUCAUUUUCAUUUCAAUGUCCUCCUCGUCCUCCUCCUCAUAACCAUCUUCAAUUCUAUUUAUAUUCAUAAUUUCUUCUUGUAUGCUAGCAAAUCCGAAGAAUCCAUUGUUGCUAAAAUGGAAAAGAAAUUCUAAUAAAAGAAGAAUGAAGACGCAUGUGUCAAAUAGGCUGGAAGCAAAUUCUAAUGAGAGAAUAUUGCUUUGUUAGGAUUAGGGUUUAUAAGGUGAAUAUGUUAUUUAAAAGAGAAAUAAGGGGUUUUUUUUUUUUCUAUAUCAAUUAACAGAUUCCGUUGAGAUAAUUUAAUAGAAGAAUUAGAUUAUUGUAUUUAUAAAUAAUGAAAGGUAUUUUAAUUAGUUUUAAAAAUUAUAGAAAUUAACUAAUAAAUUUUUUAAAAAUUCAGAACUAAAUAAUAUUUUGCCUUAUUUUUAUAUGAAAAUUUAAUAAAAACUUAAUGCAAAUAAACAACGAGUAAUGCAUUUCCUUUCCCAAUUUCCUUUCCAAAUUUCCUUUCCUUAUACUUACCACUUUACCAGCAGGCAGAGAGCCUUUCUUUUCCGAUUCUCUAUUUCCUUUCCUCAUUCCCAAUCUCCGAUCCAUCCCUAAAAACAACUGACGAGAGAUCGAUGAUGAUGAAGAUGCCUUGGGGGAGGAAGAGCAGGAGCUUCCAUCUUCAGCUACAAGGGGCAAUUGGUACCAUUCAAUCUCCAUUCCUAUUCUUAUUUACCAAUUAUUGCCAUUCUUCUACUUCCACACUUGAAGAUGCACGCUUCUUGACAAAUAAUUUCAAAUCUGCUUCUUUUACCCACCUUGAUGAUGCCAUUGCUUCCUUCAAUCAUGUAAUUNNNNNNNNNNNNNNNNNNNNNNNNNNNNNNNNNNNNNNNNNNNNNNNNNNNNNNNNNNNNNNNNNNNNNNNNNNNNNNNNNNNNNNNNNNNNNNNNNNNNNNNNNNNNNNNNNNNNNNNNNNNNNNNNNNNNNNNNNNNNNNNNNNNNNNNNNNNNNNNNNNNNNNNNNNNNNNNNNNNNNNNNNNNNNNNNNNNNNNNNNNNNNNNNNNNNNNNNNNNNNNNNNNNNNNNNNNNNNNNNNNNNNNNNNNNNNNNNNNNNNNNNNNNNNNNNNNNNNNNNNNNNNNNNNNNNNNNNNNNNNNNNNNNNNNNNNNNNNNNNNNNNNNNNNNNNNNNNNNNNNNNNNNNNNNNNNNNNNNNNNNNNNNNNNNNNNNNNNNNNNNNNNNNNNNNNNNNNNNNNNNNNNNNNNNNNNNNNNNNNNNNNNNNNNNNNNNNNNNNNNNNNNNNNNNNNNNNNNNNNNNNNNNNNNNNNNNNNNNNNNNNNNNNNNNNNNNNNNNNNNNNNNNNNNNNNNNNNNNNNNNNNNNNNNNNNNNNNNNNNNNNNNNNNNNNNNAUGGUUUUUGCAAAUUAGGCCAAAAGAACCAAGCUUUGGCUUUGAUGAAUGAAAUGGUGGAGCAAAACGUAUUACCAAAUGAUUAUACCUUCAAUGUAUUGAUUGAUGCUCUUUGUAAGGAUGGAAUGGUUUCAGAGGCUCAAAAUACAUUCAAUGUAAUGAUUCAAAGAGGUGGAGAGCCUAAUGUGAUCACAUACAAUUCCUUAAUUGAUGGUCUUUGCAUUUCAGACCAAUUGAAGGAAGCUUUGGCCUUAUUGAAAGAAAUGGUGGGGAGGAACAUAUCCCCUGAUGUUUUUACCUUCAAUAUAUUGAUCGACACUCUUUGUAAGAAAGGACUGGUUUCAAAUGCACAAAAUAUAUUCAAAAUAAUGAUUCAAAGAGGUGUGGAACCUACCGUUGUCACUUAUAGUUCAUUGCUGGAUGGAUAUUGUCUAGGCAACCAAAUUGAUAAGGCUAGAAAGCUAUUUGAUCUGAUGGUGACCAAUGAAAUAGCUGACAUUUUUAGCUACAACAUUUUGAUCAAUGGAUAUUGUAAGUGCAAAAUGAUAGAUGAUGCAAAGGAGCUUUUUGAUGAAAUGUCUCAUAAAGGUUUAGUUCCUGAUGUUGUUACUUAUUCUACUCUUAUAAAGGGUAUGUUUCAAGCAGGGAGGCCCCAAAAUGUAAAAGAGCUCUUUAAGGAUAUGUGCUCUCAUGGUCAACAGCCAAAUAUAGUAACCUUCUCAAUUAUGAUUGAUGGCUUGUGUAGACAAGGGAAUCUAGAUGAGGCACUCACACUAUUGAAAGAAAUGGAGAAAAGUCAGUUGAAGCCUAAUCUUGUGAUCUAUAGCAGUCUGAUCAAUGGUAUGUGCAAAGUUGGGAAGAUUAAUGAUGCCAAGGAACUUUUUUCUAGUCUUUUUGAAAUUAGUUUGCAACCUGAUGUUUAUGUAUAUAAUGCAAUUAUGAAAGGACUCUGCCAACAAGGAUUAAUGGAUGAAGCGUAUAAGGUAUUUAAAGACAUGGAAAAGGUAGGAUGUUUACCAAAUAAUUAUUGUUAUAAUAUCAUCAUUCAAGGGUUUCUCAAGCACGAGGAUUUACCAAAAGCUUCAGAACUAAUCAACGAAAUGGUUGAUAAGGGUUUCUCUGCUGAUGCUACUACCACAGAAUUGGUAGUACAUUUAUCACGGAAUAAUGAUCUCAUUCUAAGCAAACUACGAAAUCGUUCUGAGUCUUCUAAAGCUGUGCAAUGAGGGAUCAGCAAACUAAAGUUGUUAUAUCUUGACCAUUCAAUGGUGUCUUGGAGAGAAACUUGGUAAUUACCUUCUUCACAUGUAGUAAAUAUGUAAUUUAACUGACUUCAAAUUUCGUUUUUAAUUUCAAUCAGCUGUGAUUCUCUUCCACAAAACGAAAAUUUCUAACACUGUAAAUUACCUGCAGUGGAAACCAUGAUAUGUGUGUGUUUUUCGCUUGAAUCAGACAUGGACUAGAUCUCUUUGGAUAUAAGAUUGUUGAUGAAUGGAGGUCAUAGAUUUUUAAUGAUCAAGUUGCUGGUAAACCCACCAUCUUCCUUACAAUUCUUUUUUUGGGCUGCUAAUACAGCCUUAACUCGAGAGCUCAGUCCUAAAAAUGAGUUGAGAACUAAAACUAAUUGAUUCCAUGCUAUAAUGCUUAAGAAUCUUUAUCUAUUUAACUUUUGUGCUCAAUGACCUUUUAAGAUGCUAUCAUUUUUCUUAUAGCUACUUGCCAGGAUAUGAUUACAACUUACCUUUCUAACCAUAAAGGUAUAAGCAAUUUGUUUUUGCUUAAUUAUUAUAUUUUUAAUAAUAAUGAAAAUAAUGAUUAUAAACAAGUGGGGCUUUAAUUGAGAAUUGAUUUAGCAAUUAGACUACGCUAUAAAUGCAGGGUGCAGGAUAUACAACCCCAUAAUACAAGUGUAGUGGUUGAGAAAUCUACCAUUUUUCUUUUCGGUUUCUUGGUUGACAGAAAUCUACAAUUUUAGUUGUUGAGAUUGUUGAAUCAUGUGAUAGUAAAUUAGUUACAAUGGCUGUAUAUUAAGGAAAAAUACUUAGGAAAUCAUCUCUGUAUGAUAUAUUUUUAUUAUAUAAUAAUAAUACAAUCAAGUAUGAUCAUUUUGUCAAUAUGGUAUAUAACAAAUAUACUUUAGUGUUGGACCACCUAUUGAGUUAUUUAUAUGGUGCAUUUUGUGAUACGUUUAUAUGGUGUUAUGAAGGCGAAACACAUUGUUUCUUACUGUUUGAGAAAAGUUGGGCAAGAAAAGUUGCUUUGGUUGUUUCUUUUCUCUUUUCAGCUGUACAUUAUGCAAGAUUUUGUGUAUUUAGCACAUUGUAAACCUUGUAACAUAAUAAAAUUUUCUUUGAGCUUUUGUUUAUACAUGGUGUUUUUCUUUUUGCUUGCUGCGUUAUUCUUGAAGUUUUUUUUGAUUCUGCGUCCAUGGCAAAAGGAAGUGUUAGUUUGUCAGAGAAGGUAGGGUUUGACAGGGUACAUAUUGAGACGUAGGAAACCAAUUGCAAAAUGAUUCAGAUCCUUUGAGACUUCAAAACUCAAAUAAUCAAGGUAUGAUCUUUAUAUCUGCACCUUUAAGUGGACUAAAUUAUUUGAGUUGGAGUAUAUCUAUGACACUUGCUUUAAGAGCAAAAGACAAGUUAGGAUUUGUAAAUAGUAGUGUGCGAAUUCCUCCUGUUGGCACCACUGGUUUUGAGAAGUGGAUUAGAGUUGAUAGCAUGGUGGGUUAGAUUUUGAAUUCCAUCUCGAAGUAUCUAGUGGAAGCUUUUUGUAUGCAUAUAGUGCAAAGGAUUUAUGGGAGGAAAUUAGAAGAAAGAUUUAAGCUGACUUAUAUACCAAUUAAAGAAAGAAUUAAGUAGUUUCAGUCAAGGAUCUAUAUUAGUCGUUUUCUUUACAAAAUUGAAGAAACUAUGGGAUGAACUUAGUGUUUCAAAGCAUGAUUUAACUAUUUGUGAAUGUGGUGCUUUUGAAGUAUAGCUUGAGAGUGAGAGAAUUAAUCAGUUGUAAAGCUUUUAUAAAGAGUUUCAGAUAGAGUUUAAGAUAGAUUAUGUGACAUUUGUAAAACUUUUGGGCACAUAGAUACCCUGGUUGGUUUAAAAAUUAUAAGCAAAAGAAGAUUGGCUUUAACAAUGAAAAUCAGACUUAUGGAGCCACUGAGGACCUUCGGAACUCACAUCAGUUGUAGAGCGUGCGUGUAUAGGAUUUAUAUGAAAUUAAGGACUUUGUCAAAUAUAUUUUUGAUUAUAGGCCGGCUAGGUGAAAUGGAUUUUUCUGACUUUGCAGCUAACGCUAUGUAUAACACAUGUAUAUUCUUGCUAUAUAUACUUGAUAAAAUUUUCUUAAAUUCGUUGGAAUGAAUAAUUUAGGUGAAAUGGAUUUUCAUAACACAAGUAUAAGAGUAAAAUUUUGUAUAUAGUAUUUUGUAUUAUAUUAAAAUCAAAUUAUAAAUAAAAUAAUUAACAAUAAAUGUUAUAUAUGCUAAAAAUAUUAUUAGUAUCUUUUAAAUUAUAAAUGUCUAAAUAUAAUUUAUUAUUAAAUUUUCAUAGUUUUAUGUAAAAUAAAAAUGUUAAAGCAUUAAAACUUUAGUCAUAUCUUUCAAAUUAUAUCUUUCAAAUUAAAAAUCACCGAAUUUAAUUUAUUAUUGAAAAUUAAUAAUUUUAAAUAAAAUAAAAAUAUAUCAUAUUAAUUUUGCAAUUGUUAUUGUAUUAGGAUUUUGCAAAAUUAAUAAUUUUGCCAUUGUUAUUGUUUAAAAUUAAUAAUUUUAAAGGGAAAAUUCAUUUUCAUGAAUAGAUCAGCCCCGCGCGGAGCACCCGACUCGGAGGUAUAAAACAGGCCGGAUUAGACAUGCGCGCAGCCCCAUCAUUUGGAAACUCAGUCUGGUGACAUGACAGGAGGUAGGCAAGGCAGACUCAGUCACUUCGUAGCUCUGCCCGCAUGCGCGCAGGGGAAUUAAAUGGCCGCAUGGUCAUAGCCAUGCCCGCAUGCGCGCCAGGAAAAGUUAAAUUGUCGCCUGGCGUAGAGAGGGGUUCUGAUGCGUCGUACGUACGGAAACACUGUAACAGAGAUGCUGUUAGACGUCACUAGUAGAUAAAAGGAAAAGGGAUAAAAGGGGAGGAACAUCUUCCUCUCUAUCUAAACUUGUUCUUAUAUUGUAAAUCCUAUAGGGAUAAAAGGGGAGAAUGUCUUUCUCUCCAUCUAAGCUUACUCUCAUACUAAGCUUACUUUUAUACCGUAAAUCCUAUUUUUUGAAUUUCAGAAUAUGAGAUCAAAUUUAAUUCACUAAUUGUUAUUAUAAUGUUAUGUAUAAAAAUUAAAAAAUAUAAAAAAUAAUAGUAAAAUAUUGUUUAGUCUUUGAAGUAUACUAAAAUCUCUGCUUUAAUACCCAAAUUACUUACUAUAAUCGAAGAGAGAAGUAAGAGCAUUUUCCUUUAUUAUCUGUCCAUAUAAAAUACAUCAUCACCUCUUUAAAGAGAAUGGGUCAGAGCAAUGUUAGAAAACAUCUAUUUCUAAAGUGUUAAAUUUGGUUGCACAAAAAUAGAGUGGAGCUUUUGGAACUAGAAGAACACAUUUUUUGGAGGGCAAACUCAAAGUGGAAAUAUGAUGAUUCAUCUUACUUUGAGAAAGAGAAAUAUCUAAAUGUUAAUCAAAUUAAGAGUCCUACUAGAAGUUUUUAUACCAUAUUUCUGAUUAGAUUCAUAAUAGGAGAGACAAUUUGGUUUUAGGAGGUGAUUUAUUUAGAGAUCACAUAGACAACUAGUUACAAGGUUUUUCUAUCCCUUUUGACGGAUUACUAAUUUUAGUAAUCACAUACAUUUUCUCUAUUGCUAAUAGAAAUCUUAAAGACUUUUAGGUCCAAUUGUAUUGCGAAUAGAGACCUUAAAGACUUUUAGGUCCAAUCGAGCCGCUCAACUUUCAUUUUUAAUAUUUUAAUUGAGUCAAAUACCUUUCAAUUUUAGUGUGUUAAUUGAGUCAAAUAAAUAAGUAAAAUAAGUUUUUAAGGAAUUAAAUAUUUGUUUUAUAUUUUAAGUAAUUAAAAUAAAACUAAAUAAAUCAUUUAUAAAAAAAUUGUAACGACCCGGAAAUCGAAUCGUUACCGGCGCUAGGAUUCAGAUCGACUUAAGGUCGCCGGAACCCGUAGCAAGCUUAACAUACAACCUGUCAUACCUGAUAGAAUCCCAUACAUGAAUAUACAUUUACAUAAAAACUUAAACUUUCCAUAUAACCAAGUUUAACCUUGCAUGUAUUAUAAACUUAAAACAUAAAACCCAUACUAGAGCCCUCAUCGUAUGCUCCAGUAUGGUCAACAUACAUGCCUCACUUGGUUCAACAUAUCAUAAAUAUAAAACAUUUUAUUUAAAGCUCAUGUAAACUGGGAUUUCAAGCCAUCAUUAUGGCCAAGUACAAUACUAAUCCACAAUGCAUUACAUGUCCACUACUAAUCUAUUACAUUAAAUUUUAUCCAAAACCUUGCUGACUCUCCCAGAGCUACCUGUGAUUCUGCAAACCUGGGGGUUAAGGGAAAGGGGUAAGCUACAAGAACCUGGUGAGCAGAACCAUGAAAACAGUUUAAUAAACAUAUGCUCUCAUGAAAUGCAUCACAACACAAACAAUACACAUCAAGGAUGGACUUGUCACCAAUAACCCUCUACAUAAUCCAAUUGAUGCCCGACUCUCGACGGAGCUCCUCAAGACUUUCUCUUAAACAUAACAUAAUAUAUCCAACUGUGCCAGGGGCGUAGAAUGGGCAACCCUGGUCUUUCCCUUACAUCGUGCCAGGGGCGUAGAAUGGGCAGCCCUGGUCUUUCCGUAUCAUAUCAUAUCAUAUCAUAUCAUAUCGAGAGCUAAUGGGUCAUCCAAUAUCCAUCCACAUCAACAGCAAAUUAUGCAAUGCAUCAUAUUCGUGAAUUUCUAAUGCAAACAUCCUAAUACAUAAUAUGGCAUUCGUGAUGCAUGAACAUGCUCAAAAGCUUAGUACUUUAAAAUUUAGAAUUCAGUUCUACUCACCUUUGGCUGGUACUCAAUUGACUCUGAAGCAGCUAACUCACUGCUGGUCUCUUCGGUUUCUCAGGUCUGAUCCUACACAGGUGGACUCAAAUGAGGGACCAAACAUACUCUAGCAAGACUCUAAACAUCUCCCCAAAAACCCCCUAAAACAUCAUAAAACAUACACACAAAAUAAGCAAAGGAAGACUGGGCAGAGGACUUUCGGCGGCAGGUUCGGCGGCCAAAGGUCCCUAAGAUCCGAAAGUCAGGCACUUUCGGGGGCAAGGUUCGGCGGCUGAAAGCCUUCACAGACCCGAAAGUCACUAACCUUCAGGGGCAGAUUCGGCGGCCGAAACUCCCCUCCAGAUUCGAAAGUCUAUGCUUUCAGGGGCAGUUUAGGCGGCCAAAGGCUGCCUCCCCUAGCAGGUUCGGCGGCCGAACCUUCCUUUGGCGGCCGAACCUGGGUCUUCCUGAGUGACCGGACCCGAUUCUACCUCACACAUCCAGCCACCAAAACUUUCCAAAACACACAUCCAACUAUUCUAAAACAUGCAUACACAUUUCAACAUGCAUAAGGGGCAUAAAACUAGCCUAAAUCCCAACAAACAACACAAACAUCACAUUAAGCAUAAAGUUAACGUAAACCCUAACAUAUUAAUCUACUAAAAAACAUGCAUUAUAUACCCUUAACCCCUUUUAAAACUUACUUAAAACAUAAGAAUAGAUGAGGAUCUACACUUACCUCUCGAAGAUCGAGAGUAGAUGUGAUCCGAACUCGGAGAUGAGGAGAAAAUGGUCUCCAGAGGUCUCCAAGCUUCAAAACUUCGAUUUUAGCUUAAAAUCUUCAAAGCAAAGCAAAACUCAUAAAAACUCAAAAAGAUUUAAAGGAAAAACCACGAAAUCGAUAAUGGAAGGGCAAAAACUCACCUUUGCUCGAAAAUGGAGAGAGAAACCCUCCCAUUUUCAGACAUGGGGCCUCUUAUAGGUGGCUGGCCAGACCACCUUCGGGAGCCGAAAGAGCUCCCGCGGCAGCACCAUGUUCGGCGGCUAAACAUGAGGUUCGGCUGCCGAACCUAGUGUUCUCCCUCAAAAUCUUUUUCUUUCAUUUUUAAAACUUUAAUCCAAAAUCAAAUAAUAAAAUCAUGAAAAUCAUUUUGUAAAAACAUAUUUUACCCUUCCAGAGGUUCCGGUAUCCGAGAUUCCGGAUUUCAACGGAGAUUCCGUUGGAAAGUUAGAAUUCCGACGCCAGAAUCUAGCCGGGUAUUACAAAAAUAAAUACAUAAAAUCUAACCCCAUUUCAUUCCAUCCUCAUCUAUAUCUUCAUCAUGGACAAAUCCAAAUUCCAUCUAACCUCAUCUCCUCUACCAUCAUCGUUUACUUACUCACCCAAUCUCAAAGCAUUAUUAUUCAAUAUCUUUUUUCUUGCAUCUCUAGCAUUAAGUGACUUAGAAAUGCUCUUUAAGCUUCCUUUAUAUGCCACCGUCAAUAUACCCUCCAAACUUAAGAACUACUUUCAUGUUAGUUGAAAAUACUAAUGAUACUAUGGUCAUGAUGUUGAGUGAGUUUGUGAAUUUAUGUUUGAUGACGCUGUGGAUCUUUCAUCCAUAGCAGUUCAUGAAAGUGAAAUGGUAAAUAUGGUGAAACAAUAAGUAUUAACUUCCAAGAUGAAUGGCAUGAAAACAUGACUCCAUAAUCAUCGCUAAUUAAGAAAACGUGUUUAGAUUUUUUAGGUUAGUUUUGAAGAUAAGAGGUUAUUGCAGUUUUGGAGAUAACGUUCUUGAUUUUUCAAUUUUAAAAAUUUUAAAAUAUUUUAAUGGAUGAAUGUUUAAUAGAGUUACGUUUCAAUUAUUGAUUUGGAUUUAGUUUGCUUAAAAUUAUAAUAUGUAGGAUAAUUAGGCUAAAAUUGAAAGUUAAGAGGAUUGAUUGGAUUCAUAAAAUCUUUAAGAACUUAAUUGACUAUUGGCUAAUAAUUAAGGGGUUAAAAUGAGCUUUUUAUCUAAAAAAAAUUGGACAGGUUUGUUCUUUGUGAGAAUAGGAGUAGGCAUCCAGAGGAGGAAUUACGAUUUAUUCCUUCAGCAAUUAUGAAUGGAUAGAAGAUAGUAAAAUUCAGAGCCACAUAUGUAUAGAGUGAAUAUGUGAGAGAAAUCGGUUGAUAAAGAGUGUAUUUGAAAUGAAUGAUUGAAUUCAAGGGAUUGAGAGUUUCGCUACGAGCAAAUAGAAGAUGUAUAGUCUAAACUCUAUUUCUUUUAUGAAAGAUAAUAUUUAUUAGUUUAAUUUUUAACUUGACGAGAGUAAGAGAUGAUUCUUUGAGAAUAGAUCCUAUAUCUUUUAUAAAAAAAAAAAAAAACCUUAAUUUUGAUACUAAUGUUGAGAAUCGACUUGGAAUCAAUCUAAAAAAUAUCUAUAUAAGUACAACUCCCAGCAUUGCUUUGGAAAUUCUAGAAUGUAGAGAUGCUGAGUUAGAAUAGGUAGCAGGAUGGAAAACUGUGAAGAGGGCAGAGUGGGUUAUACAAGAAUAUUAGUAAAAAUGGACUUGUUAAGGGGUGUUCCUUGAAGCUGUUAUUCUAGAAGAUGAGAGUAGCCAUCAAUUCUCUCAACAUGUGAUUUGAAUGGAGGCCUGCUAGAUGCCAGGAGUGUAGGAACUUGGACAUCAUGAAUCUCAGUGUAAAAGAAGGCACAAGAGAUAAAUCUGGCAACUUAAGAAUAAAAAAAUGGAUGAUAAUAAGGGUGACAAUGUUGAAGAGGUGGUAAUGGUGGCAGGGAAUAUAAAUGAAGGAAAAUGAAAGAGGAGAGUGCUAGGAAGUGGCAAAGGAAAAGAGAAAAUAUAGGCACAUGAAAAAAUCAUUAAUUAAAUUGUAACAUGGAGAUUGAUGAGAGGCGAAAUGAUAAAAAAAAGUUUAACGUUUCCUAUAUUUAUAUUUUAAUUUAAAUUUUUAAUUUUGAUUUAAUUGACUUAACUUUUAUAUUUUAAUGCAAUUUGAAUUAAUUUAUCAAUUUCUAAAUUUUCAGCAUAUUACAUAUAUUAUUAUUAUUAUUAUUAUUAUUAUUAUUAUUAUUAUUAUUAUUAUAAAUUAAUGAUUAAAUUAUUGAAAAAGUCAAAUAUUUACAUUAUUUUAUAUUUUAAUUUAAAUAUUUAAAUUUUAAUUUAAUUGGGCAAUGUAAUUUUAAUCAAUUUUAAAUAAUUAAAAUAUAAGAGUUCACAUAAAAUAUCAAAGUUAAUAUUUUAUUGUUUUUUAAAUGUAAAUUAACUUUAUAUAUAAAAAUAAUAUUAAGUCACAUUUAAUUAUAAUUAAAUGAUAUAUUUAAUUUUAAAAAUAAUAAUAAUUUAAUCAUUAAAUAUGUGGUAUACAGUUUUAACAGUAAAUAAAUUUUAUUUUAUAUUAAAAAUUAUGAAGAUUUUAUAAUAGAUUUAUUAUUUUUAAUUAUUUUAUAUAUACUACUAUUUUGAAUUAAAUAAUAUAUCUACAAUAAAUUAUUUAUAAUGGUUACUGUAAAAUAAAAUUUAUUAUUAUUGAGGAUGUGGAUUAUAUAUUUAAUAAUUAAAUUAUUUAUUUUAAUUAAUUAAAAUUAUUCUAAACAUAAACGUGAGUCAAUUUAUUUAAAAUUUAAAUAUUUAAAUUAAAAUGUAAAUAAUAAAAAUGUUAGGUUUUUUUCAAUUGCCCAAUUAAAAAAUAAUUAUAAUAAUACAUAUACCACACUAAGUAAAUAAUUAAAUUUAAGAAUUUAAAUAAGAGAUAAAAUUAUAUCAAAAUGCAGAGAUUAAAUCAAUUAAAUUAAAAAUAAAAAAUUUUAAUUAAAAUAUAAACAAGUAAACGUUGGAUAUUUUUUAAUCAAUUAACCUAUAGCUUAUUUUAUACAUGUAUAGUGUUAGAAUUCAAGAUAUAUAAAAUGAUAAAUAAUUAAGAACGUAUUUAUUAUUUAAAUUGCCAAAACUACAUUUGCAUAGAUUUAAUAAUUAUAUGGUUAUUUUAUUUUAUUGUUAUUUCAAAUAUUUAAUUUGAUUGGUUAAUUAUAUUAGUUUUCUAUUUAAAUUCAAAUUAAAUUUUAUUUUAAUCUAAUAUGAAGAACUAACUAAAAUUUAAAACUACCUACUUAAAUAAUUUUUAAUAAUAAAAAUAUUGGUUAAUUAUAUUAGUUUUCUAUUUAAUAUUAUUUUUUAAUAAUAAAAUAUUAUUUUUUAUAAUUCAAAACAUAAAAUUUUAAUAUUUUAAUUAUUAUAAAAAAAAUUUAAAAAUAUAAUAAGUAAUUUUUAAAAUUAUAAAAAUAAAAUUUUAUCGUAUAAAAAAUAUUUUUAUUGUUACAAAAUUAUAUUAUAUUAUUAAAAAAUAAUAAAUUAGGUUAGAUCGAAAUUUAUUUGACUCUUGUACAAUAGUACAAAAACAUAAUUGAUCUAAAAUUUUGAAUUGAAAUUAUUUGUUCAUGGAGUAAAAAUAAAGAUUUAAUUGGAUUUAUAUUUAAAAAAUUAUUAUUAUAAAAUGAUAAAUUUAAUUUGUUAUUAAAUAAUAUUUUUAAAUUAAUAAAAAAUUACAAAAUGUGGCGCAUAUAAACAAUUCCCAAUUUCCUUUUCUUAUCCUCACCACUUUACCAGCAGGCAGAGAGCCUUCCUUUCCGGAUUCUCUAUUUCCUUUCCUCAUUCCCAAUCUCCGAUCCAUCCCUAAAAACAACUGACGAGAGAUCGAUGAUGAUGAAAAUGCCUUGGAGGAGGAAGAGCAGGAGCUUCCAUCUUCAGCUACAAGGGGCAAUUGGUACCCUUCAAUCUCCAUUCCUAUUCUUAUUUACCAAUUAUUGCCAUUCUUCUACUUCCACACUUGAAGAUGCACGCUUCUUGACAAAUAACUUCAAAUCUGCUUCUUUUACCCGCCUUCAUGUUGCCAUUGCUUCCUCUAAUCACGUAAUUCAUAUGAAUCCUCUGCCUUCUAGGGUUCAUUUUAAUAGAUUCUUAUCUGCCCUUGUGAAAAUGAAACAAUAUCACACUGUCCUUUCCAUGUCCAAAACAAUUGAAUUGCUAGGAAUCUCUCACGAUGUUUAUUCUCUUAGCAUCUUAAUUAAUUGCUUCUGCCACUUACACCUUGUGGAUUUUGGCUUCUCUGUUUUUGGUAAGAUGCUCAAAUUCGGAUUGGAGCCUACCACUGUGACAUUUACUACCUUAAUUAAUGGGCUUUGUAUAGAGAGUAAAAUCGACAAAGCAGUGGAAUUUUUCGAUGAUAUGGUUGCACGUGGUUAUCAACCUAAUGUUUAUACUUACAAUGUGAUAGUAAACGGAUUGUGUAAAUUUGGGAAAACAAAUGUGGCUAUUGGGCUGCUAAAGGGAAUGGCUGAUAGAGGUUGUGAGCCAGAUGUUGUGACAUACAGUGCAAUCGUUGACGCCCUUUGCAAAGAUGACCUAGUUGGUGAGGCUUUAGAGCUCUUCUCUCAAAUGAGGAAUAAGGGCAUUUCACCUAAUGUCAUCACUUACACUGGUUUAAUUCAUGGUGUUUGCAAAUUAGGCCAAAAGAACCAAGCUUUGGCCUUGAUGAAUGAAAUGGUGGAGCAAAACGUAUUACCAAAUGUUUAUACCUUCAAUGUAUUGAUUGAUGCACUUUGUAAGGAUGGAAUGGUUUCAGAGGCUCAGAAUACAUUCAAUGUAAUGAUUCAAAGAGGUGUAGAGCCUGACGUGAUCACAUACACAUCCUUAAUUGAUGGUCUUUGCAUUUCAGACCAAUUGAAGGAAGCUUUGGCCUUGUUGAAAGAAAUGGUGGGGAGGAACAUAUCCCCUGAUGUUUUUACCUUCAAUAUAUUGAUCGACACUCUUUGUAAGAAAGGAGUGGUUUCAAUUGCACAAAAUAUAAUCAAAAUAAUGAUUCAAAGAGGUGUGGAACCUGAUGUUGUCACUUAUAAUUCAUUGAUGGAUGGAUAUUGUCUGUGCAAACAAACUGAUAAGGCUAGAAAGCUAUUUGAUCUAAUGGUGACCAAUGAAAUAGCUGACAUUUUUAGCUACAACAUUUUGAUCAAUGGAUAUUGUAAGUGCAAAAUGAUAGAUGAUGCAAAGGAGCUUUUUGAUGAAAUGUUUCAUAAAGGUUUAGUUCCUAAUGCUGUUACUUAUUCUACUCUUAUAAAGGGUAUGUUUCAAGCAGGGAGGCCCCAAAAUGCAAAGGAGCUCUUUAAGGAUAUGUGCUUUCAUGGUCAACAGCCAAACAUAGUAACCUUCUCAAUUAUGAUUGAUGGCUUGUGUAGACAAGGGGAUCUCGAUGAGGCACUCACACUAUUGAAAGCAAUGGAGAAAAGUCAGUUGAAGCCUAAUCUUGUGAUCUAUAGCAGUCUGAUCAACGGUAUGUGCAAAGUUGGGAAGAUUAAUGAUGCCAAGGAACUUUUUUCUAGUCUUUUUGAAAUUGGUUUACAACCUGAUGUUUAUGUAUAUAGUGCAAUUAUGAAAGGACUCUGCCAACAAGGAUUAAUGGAUGAAGCGUAUAAGGUAUUUAAAGACAUGGAAAAGGUAGGAUGUUUACCAAAUAAUUGUUGUUAUAAUAUCAUCAUUCAAGGGUUUCUCAAG